rnacentral:rRNA from 1 species
UACGAAGGGGGCUAGCGUUGUUCGGAAUUACUGGGCGUAAAGCGCGCGCAGGCGGUCUUCCAAGUCAGUGGUGAAAGCCUGGAGCUCAACUCCAGAACUGCCAUUGAAACUGUUAGACUUGAGUACGAGAGAGGUGAGUGGAAUUCCCAGUGUAGAGGUGAAAUUCGUAGAUAUUGGGAAGAACACCAGUGGCGAAGGCGGCUCACUGGCUCUAACUGACGCUCAGGCGCGACAGCGUGGGGAUCAAACAGG